rnacentral:siRNA from 1 species
GUAGUGCUUAAUUUAUUAACAUA